UACGAAGGGGGCUAGCGUUGCUCGGAAUCACUGGGCGUAAAGGGUGCGUAGGCGGGUCUUUAAGUCAGGGGUGAAAUCCUGGAGCUCAACUCCAGAACUGCCUUCGAUACUGGAAGCUCGAGUCCGGGAGAGGUGAGUGGAACUGCGAGUGUAGAGGUGAAUUCGUAGAUAUUCGCAAGAACACCAGUGGCGAAGGCGGCUCACUGGCCCGGUACUGACGCUGAGGUGCGAAAGCGUGGGAGCAACAGG
rnacentral:rRNA from 1 species